rnacentral:lncRNA from 1 species
CUUUGUUCUCAAACUGUACAAAAAGAAGGAAGAAGUAUCUGAUGAGAAGAAGAAACAAAGACCUCUUUUGAAGCUCAGAACUGACUUCAACCGUCUCACUCCACAAGUCCAGAGGAUUCUUGAAAGACUUCCUCCAUAUUGCUCAUUGUUUGGGAAAUCCACUUCACCUUUUACUCUCGCCUUUCUUGCUUCGCUUCCUUGCACCAAAUAACACGUCCCACUCACUUGGCUUUUUGCUAACACAUUUUCCAAUAAAUUUUUGUUGUUGACAUCAAAAGCAAAAGUUAAAGGCCCUAAAGAGUAAAGACCAAAUAGUUGAAAUUCACAGUUCCAUCCGAUAAUCAUACCUCAAUUCCAGCAAAUUUGGAGACCCUGCAUAAUGGCUUUGUUCUCCCACUAGCAUUUGAGUUACUACAACAGAAGGUCAUCUAAUCCUUCAGUUUGAUCGUUACAUUCUUUUCUAUAAAAAAAAAAUCAAGGAA